rnacentral:lncRNA from 7 species
CUCCACAUCUGUAAUGCUACAGCACAAUUAUCUACAUCGCAGUUAUGUACAUCACAGUGCUACACAAUUAUACAGUGGGCUCAAUUACAACAUCUAAAGGCUACUAAGGUGUUGCAAGCAACCAUUACUCAUGCAACAAUUCAGCAGCUAUGCUUUUAAGGAUGUAUUAACUGAAUAUUUUGUGUAAUUACUUCUUCAAUUCAAAAUCUUUGUUUUUGGCUCUCUCCCAGAGCUAAUUAGAAGGUGUAAUGAACUUUGGUUUGAGUUACUUUCCGAGAUGCUUAAUUUAUCACUCCUGGCACUGCAGCUGGAAGUCAUGGGGAACCUGAGGUACGAUGUGUUCAGAUCAGAGAGUGUUUGAAGGUCUCAACCUGAUGGUUUCUUUGUUUGAAGUGGGCUUCAGAACCAUGUUGGAAACUCAGUGUUGCAGCAAUGUAUGGCACAGUUUUAAUGAGAAUGCCUCACAGAUUGAGAGCAGGCCAGCUACAGCAAGAGGGGGCAAGCUCCAGGCUGGAGCUUUAGCAAGGAGCAGCCUCCAGGCUGAAUGCAAAUGCAUAGAAAAUCCCAGAAGAAGCCUGAAAUGGUACAAAAUUACAGUAAUCAAAUAAAAAGCAAGCUGGGGUAUCCCCACUGCAUUCUGCACUGGAGGUGGACUGUGGAUAUGCAGAGCUCUAUGGGAAAAACAGUCUUCCUCCCAUGGAGAUUUAUCUGAAGGUGCAAAGCUAGAACUGGAGACACUUGGGCUGCAUUCUCCAUGUUGCCUCUUCAAGAGUCAGGGUCUUUGGAUUUAUUUGCAUGAAGAACAGUGUGUGCUGAACAAGGAAAAUGGGCAUUUUCCACAACAUCUAAAAUCCGUGUCUCAAAUGUGUAAGCUAAUCUCCUGUAUAUUUAAAGUGCUCAGCAAUGAUUUAAGAGGGCAGCAAUUACUUGACACAUCUCUGAAGGCUAAAUGGAGUAAUGUGCUGGUGUUUAAAGUCUGAUCCAAAGCUCAUCAUCUCAUGCAAAGAGCAGGAAACCUUGUUCUGAAGGUUGCCAGCUGCAGAAGGAGCCUCAGGACCAGUUAAAGCUGCAGGCUGUAACCUAUAUUCAUCUAACCACUGGCUGUUGGUGCGAGGAUGUGGAGCUGACACAGGAAGACGGCUGGAUUGCUGGUUAGUAUUCUGGGCAUGGAGUGGAGGGGUGGAGGGAAAGAACAGUCUUGGGUAUAGAGCUCUUCUGAUGUAAACCUUUCCCUAGUGUAUAGUUUGCAAGCAUUGGUGUUGGGGGAUUGUGCUUUUUGAAUUUAUGCAUUCAUCUGGGUGUUUCCAAUGCAUGUUGGAGGUUCACUCUGGGAUCUGAGAAAUUGUUAUUCAAAGAUGCUAUUAUGCUAAAUGUUUGAGAGCUUUCCAAACAUCACAGCCACUUAGUCAAAUCCAUUCAGGCAAUGAAAGUCCAUUCAAAGUCUGACAGCUUCAUUUUCCCCAGAAACCAUUAAGUAAUGGUAGAAAGUGCCAGAUGAGCAAAGUAACUGAGGUUACAAACUGAGGCAGAAGGUUUGUCUGAAGGAGAACAGCGUUAACAGAGAUGAAAGCACUGAUGGGCUUGUGAUUUGAUUGUAAUGUGACAAGUGCAUGUGAGCUUUGGUAAAUGACUUGGGAUCCCUUGGUGUUGGUUAUCUGCCAAAUUAGUUACACCCAAACAGCUGAAACUGUAUGGAAGGAGCACAUACACGAUACAGAGGGUGUGAAGCUUCCAAAAUGCAGUUUGAAAAGUAUAUAUGCUAGGAAGGGGUCUAAUCCCUUCUGAUGUGGUCAAGAGCAAUAUAAUAUUGUUGUAAACAAUAAUGAGAGCACCUCCAAGAACUUUUCCUUGAAACAGUGUUAUAUAGUGAUGGUGUGGUGCCUCAGUGCUUGGAUGAUGUAGAUUCAGAUGUUCUCUGUUGCUCAUACUUUCAGAAAAGAGCUGUGAUGGUGCUAUUUCAGGUCUAGCUCCAGAGCCAUAUGUUCCAUUUUCCAGACUCCAGCAUCUUAAAUCUUUAAUGCUUGAAGGGUUUGAAAUAUUUACUUUGUGUCUGCAGAGAUGUAUCACGAACUGUGGCCUUUAGCUGAUUCUUUCUGUUUACCAAAAACUUCAUUGUGAUCUGGAACCUGAGACAUCAGUGUCAUGGCUUCAGGUUCUGGGCACUUCACCUGAGCACAUGCAGAGGCACUGUCUCUUGUACUUCUCAGCUGAUCGUAUUCUGUGCUUGCUUCUGUGUGUCUGAAUCACAUAAGAUGAGCGGUUGAUGAUUAUUAAGAAGCUCUUAUUGAUUCAGGAUGGAUUUUGGGGGGUACUUGAGU